rnacentral:rRNA from 1 species
AUUGAACGCUAGCGGGAUGCUUUACACAUGCCAGUCGAACGGCAGCGCGGACUUCGGUCUGGCGGCGAGUGGCGAACGGGUGAGUAAUGUAUCGGAACGUGCCCAGUAGCGGGGGAUAACUACGCGAAAGCGUAGCUAAUACCGCAUACGCCCUACGGGGGAAAGCAGGGGAUCGUAAGACCUUGCACUAUUGGGGCGGCCGAUAUCGGAUUAGCUAGUUGGUGAGGUAACGGCUCACCAAGGCGACGAUCCGUAGCUGGUUUGAGAGGACGACCAGCCACACUGGGACUGAGACACGGCCCAGACUCCUACGGGAGGCAGCAGUGGGGAAUUUUGGACAAUGGGGGCAACCCUGAUCCAGCCAUCCCGCGUGUGCGAUGAAGGCCUUCGGGUUGUAAAGCACUUUUGGCAGGAAAGAAACGUCGCGGGCUAAUACCCCGUGGAACUGACGGUACCUGCAGAAUAAGCACCGGCUAACUACGUG